ACCAUAAAUUUCACUUACACUUAAAACGCCAGGGUACUACGAGCCCCGCUUAAAACCCAAAGGAUUUGACGGUGUUCCACCCAACUAGAGGAGCCUGUUCUAUAAUCGAUAAUCCACGAUCUACCUAACCAUUUUUUGUUACUCAGCCUGUAUACCUCCGUCGUAAGCUUAUCAUUUGAAUGAGAAAAAGUAAGCACAAGGACUAAAAGCCAAAACGUCAGGUCAAGGUGCAGCUUAUAAAAUGGAAGAAAUGAGCUACAAUUUCUAAUUUAGAACACACGAAUUACUGCAUGAAACAAAGUCAUGAAGGUGGAUUUAGCAGUAAGUAAGGAAUAGAGAGCCUUACUUAAUUUGGCCCUGGACGUGUACAAACCGCCCGUCACCCUCUUCGAUAGCUUUUUACCAGUUUAAAUAACCUAUUUGUAGCCCCUUAGAAGAGGCAAGUCGUAACAUGGUAAGUAUACUGGAAAGUGUACUUGGAAUAC
rnacentral:rRNA from 1 species